rnacentral:rRNA from 1 species
AGAACGAACGCUGGCGGCGUGGAUAAGACAUGCAAGUCGAACGGGAUUUGUUUUGUAGCAAUACAAGACAAGUUCAGUGGCGUAAGGGUGCGGUAACACGUGGGCAAUCUGCCGAUUGAAGUGGGGGAUAGGCUCGCCGAAAGGCGAAUUAAUACCGCAUGUGGUUAAAGGGAGGAUUCGUCU